rnacentral:tRNA from 4 species
GUGAUUGUAGCUCAGUUGGUUAGAGCGUCGGAUUGUGGUUCCGAAGGUCGGGGGUUCGAGACCCCUCAUUCACCCCA